GACGAACGCUGGCGGCGUGCUUAACACAUGCAAGUCGAACGGAAAGGCCCUGCUUUUGUGGGGUGCUCGAGUGGCGAACGGGUGAGUAACACGUGAGUAACCUGCCCUUGACUUUGGGAUAACUUCAGGAAACUGGGGCUAAUACAGGAUAGGAGCUCCUGCUGCAUGGUGGGGGUUGGAAAGUUUCGGCGGUUGGGGAUGGACUCGCGGCUUAUCAGCUUGUUGGUGGGGUAGUGGCUUACCAAGGCUUUGACGGGUAGCCGGCCUGAGAGGGUAACCGGCGACAUUGGGACUGAGAGACGGCGCAGACGCAUACGGGAGGCAGCAGGGGGGAAUAUUGCGCAAUGGGCGGAAGCCUGAUGCAGCAACGCCGCGUGCGGGAUGACGGCCUUCGGGUUGUGAACCGCUUUCGCCUGUGACGAAGCGUGAGUGACGGUAAUGGGUAAAGAAGCACCGGCUAACUACGUG
rnacentral:rRNA from 1 species